GUUAGAAAUUUUCUGCUCUUCAAAAUAAAUUGUGACCCUUUUUUUUAUUUUUUAUUUUUUUGUCUAUUACAACCGUUGAUAGAAAUAGAAUUGGAUUCGUUAGACACUAAGCAAACUUUUGUUUAUUUUUCUGGCUAUAAAUAUUAUACGCUAAAACAAACGUAAUUUGCAUUUUUGCAGGGUUAUAUAUUGAGUUAAGCUUGACCUUCUUUUUAACAUAAACUUAUUUUGUAAAUAUAUGUUACAAACCAGAAAAUAUAUAUAUAUAUAUAUACACAGAGAGUCUACCAUGGGGACUGACCGCAUGCCUCCUGUGCGGACCAAACAUGUGAUCAAAAUUGGAGCCCUUGGAUUUGCACACCUAGCAUCAAUGGCCAAGCUUCAAGUUGCUCUCACGCGAGAAUUUUGGCCAAAAUCUCCCCUGAGCCCUUCGCAGCUUCCUCUUCUAUUUGCCUCUGCAUUUCCCCUUUCCAUUCGUGAGAUCUUUGGCCAAAUUUCCCCUUUCCCUUUGCAGCUUUCUCUUCUAUUUGCCUUUGCAUUUCCCCUUUCCAUUCGUGAGAUCUUUAGCCAAAUUUUCCCUUCCUCUUCGCAGCUUCCUCUUCUAUUUGCCUCCGUAUUUCCCCUUCCCAUUUGUAGGUUCCUCUUCUAUUUUCCUCUACUUCCACACUUCCACCAUUACAGUGACGUUGCAAGCCACUGAUCCCCAGCUUGUGGGAAAGUCGUUCAGCCCCACCAGUUCCAGCCAUUCUCCUUUGCUGCUUCCACCGGCCACCAGAUUCUCUAGUGCUUCCACCAUCGGGAGUAUAUAGAAAUCACAGCUGGAGAUUAGUUGUGUAAGCAUGGCAACAAGUACUAGUGAUGUUCAACCAAUCCGAAUGUGCUCAUGUGGGCAAUAUAUGCAUUUAAAAACAUCAAGGAGAGAUAAGAAUCCAAAUCGUCAAUUCUGGAAAUGCUUAGAUGGAGAACAGGAAAAAGGAUGUGGUAGAUUCAUUUGGGCAAAAGAAGGUGAAGCUAAACUAGAAAAAAUUGAUGUACUUAUCGGUGAAGUUCGUCGUUUAUCUUUGGAAGUGGAGAAAUCUAGUAAUAUUCUUGAAGCAAUUCAGAAAAAUACUAAAAGGUGCGACCAAUAUGACAUUAAGACGGUCAUAUUCCUUGUACUUUUAUUAUUUAUUUCCUUAAAAAUGUUAGCCUAGUAAUGUAGUCAAGUAAGAUAUAUGUAUGUUCGGUUGGUAAACAAAUCAUGUAGUAAAUUCUACCUUAUGCUUGUGAAGCACCAUAUGUAUCCUAUUAAGCUCGCUGUAUGUUUUGUUGAAAUUGUCUGUUAUAAUUAACUAUGCAAUAUGAUGUGUCAAGUAUGUUGAACUUUUUGGUGAAUUGAUUUGCAUUUUAUUCCCUUUAUAUCGCUGAUAUGGUUCACAUAAUUGUAGCCCUUUGGUGUGGGUUGCAUGCUUUCAUUGAUGAUUUUUAUAGGUUCCUGUUUCAAAUGUAUUCAUUAUCAGUACUGGUAUUAACCCUAAAGCCAAAUCAUAUUACCUUUUUUAUGGCUAUGCACAUCUCUCUUCUGGGCUUGCUUGUGGUCUUGCUGGGCUUGCGGGUGGAAUGGCAAUUGGUAUAGUUGGUGACACUGGUAUCAGGUAAUAUUAUUAUUGUUAUUAUUUUUUUCUAUUUGCAUUACCACAUGUGCAUAUGUGUAAUUCAUCUUGUUAUUGGUUGUUAAUCUAAUCCCUCUGUUAUAUGAAGAUUUUUUUUUUUUGUUUGGUUUAAAAAAUAUUGUUACCUAAAGAGUCAUUAGUAAAAUGUUCAAGUUAAGUAGAUGUAGCUCUUCCCAAUAAAAGCAGUUAAGUAUUGCAUUAAUUCUGCUUCCAAAAUCAAUUCCUCCUAGAUGUUUGGGAUCCUCUAUGACUAAUAUGGGGGUCUAAAUAAAGGAAUUGAAGAUCAAUUUUAAUGGAUAAGAGUUUAUGGUAGAAGAAGCGAUUAGGUUUUCUUAUCAUAAAGAUGUUACUCAAGAAGACAAAAUGUGAGACUAGUCUUCCACUAAUUUCCAGGAAUUUAAAUUUAUUUGUUUUUGUUUAUUUUAGAUAAAUAUUUCAUCAA